UAGGUUCAUUGUGAGGUGGAGGUAGAAUAUAUAGAAUUUAGCAGCAGAAAAAAAGUGCAGGAGUGCAUUUCAGUUCAGUGUGAAAAAUGUGCAUCAUGUUUUACACACAUGGCUUGUGAUAGCUACACA